ACUGUGAUGGAACUGGUGACACUGGGGUGAUGACACUGGGGCAGUCCUGGGGAUGCAGGGCUGGUAGCACUGGGAUGGAACUGGUGCCACUGCUCUGUCCCUGGUGCCACCAGUCUGGUGCCACUAGACAGGUGGCACUGCCGUCUCCCUGGUGCCACCUGUGCAGUGUCCCCGUGUCCCCACAGUGUCCCUGGACUCAGCCCGCGCCGCCCUGGGGGUGAGUGAAGACAAUCACCUGCUGCUGGACCUGACUAUGGUGGCCGUGUCCUGUGAGGUGGCCUGGCGGGGUUUGGGGACAUCACAGCAUCACCUGGCCACCGCCGCGUACCACCAGCGGGACAUGGCCCUGAACAUGCAGGACCAUGCCUGGCAGGUGGCAGCCGCCAGGGCCAGCACCAAGGCCGCCACGGCCAUCAACGAGGCCACUGCAGAUGAGCUGGGGGAGCUGGAGGAGGUGACACAGGAACUGGGGAUGUUGGUGACAGCUGUCACCCAGGACAGGGAGGUGACACCUUGGGGGACACAGGGACAGGGCUUCCCCAGAGCUGCCUGGGCACUUGGGGACAUCCUAGUGGGCUUGGGGACAUUGCGUGAGGGGCACGAGGAGGUGACGCAAUGGCUGGAGGCGGCCCAGAGAGCGCUGGUGGGGCAGGAUAGGGACAGGGUGGGGACAUUGGGGUGGCACUGUCAUGGCCAGGGCAUGGGGCACCCUGAGGGACAUUGGGGACCUUGGGGACACCCCCAUGUCCUUUCCUUGGAAACGCCCAGGCCACAUUGAUAUCCCCUGUCCUGUUUUGGGCCAUCACAAUGUCCCUGAUGUCCCCACAGUGUCCAAAACAGGAUCCCAGUGUCCCCAGUGUCCCCAACAGGACACUGGGAGACAUUUGGGCCAUGUUGGGGACAUGGGGGGGACAUCGAGGCCUGUUGGGGACACUCAGGGGACAUCAGGUUCCUGUUGGAGAUACUGGGGGGACAUCUGGGCUCUGUUGGGAGCCCUGAGGGGACACUGGGGAUAUUGGGCUCCUGUUGAGGACAUCAGGGAGGACAUUGAGGCCCUGUUGGGGACACUGAGGGGAUACUGGGGUGUGUUUGGGACAGCAGGGCCCUGAUGGGGACUCUGGAGGGGCAUUUGGGUCCUGUUGGAGACCCUCAGUGGACACUGGGGGCAUGUGGAGACCCUGAGGAGACAUCGGGGUCUCUUGGGGGCCAUCAGGGAGACAUCGAGCACCAUGCAGGUGGGGAGGGCGUGGCUGGGGUGGUGAUGUCACCUCAUCACCUCUUCCUGUUUACUGCUGGCUGCCCCACAUUCCUGCGUGUCACCCGAGUGGCCCUGGACGUGUCCCUGGCUGUCCCCUGAGGCCAUGGAGCCCCGUGAGUUGCUGGAGGCGCUGGUGGACGUGGUGGCCGUCCUGGGAGAGCUGGCAGUUACUGUGGCUGGGCCCUACGGGGACGUGCUGCUGGCUGUGUCCCCACGGUCCCUGCACACGGCCCUGGAGACCUUCAUCAAUCACCUCUGUCGCGCCCUGAACGACCGUAUUGCCCCCCCCCCCUGGGCAACGCCUCCCUGGGCCGGGCCCUGGCCGCCCUCGGGGCCACCCCAGGGGCCACCUGGGCCCAUGUGAGAAGUGCGGCCAGCGCCUGGCGGGACCCGGUGGCCGCGCUCAGGGAAGGCUGGGACCAGCUGGCCAGGGAGGCCAUCGAGCUCCGUGACGCCUGCAGGGCCGCGGCCACCAGGGAGGCCACCACAGCGGCCACCGCCACCACCCUGGCUGGGGAUCUGCAGGUCGAGGCCACACAGUGGGGGACAGCCACGGACAACCUGGUGGCCACGGCCUGGCAGGUGCCGCUGGCCCUGGACAAGGAGGAGGCGACCUCAGCGCUGGCUGCACAUGAGGCCUGGGUGGCAGCGGCCACCAACAAGGUGGUGGCGGCCACCAAGGCCACGGAAGAGACCGGGGUGGCCACCAGCGAGGCCAAGGCAGCCAGCAGGAGGGAACAGCGGGCAGAGGUGGCCCUGGAGCUGCUGGAGCGCUUGGUGGCUGUGUGUGACAAAGCCACCACGUUCCCCCGGGAGCUGCAGCGCCGGCUCGGGGACAUCGAGGCCACCCUGAAGGGGACAAAUGAGAUGUCCCCUGAUGUCCCUGAGUCCUUGGUGGCCGCAGUGGCCAAGGCUGAGCGGCUGUGGGAUGCCAGUGCCCGCCUGGCCACACGUUACCUGCAGAAAUCACUUGGGAAAAUCCGCAACCUCCUCUCAAGUUGUCCUGGUGGCUCCGGUGGCCCUCAUGAUGCCAGUGGCCCUGGGGUGGCUGAGUGGUGCCAAAAAGCCAUUGAGGACAUCCCAAAGCUGCUGCAAGAACAGUGAUGUCACAGCUGUGAGGUCAUCAAGGGUAGCGAAAUCAUCGGGGACACUCUGGGGCCACACAGGGACACUCAGAACCGUUGUUGCAGCUUGGGGGCAUGAUGAGGCAGCUUUCCUCUGUGGGUGCAGCAGACUAUUUCUCAAGCCUCCUCAAAAACCUUCAGGUCCCUUUCCCUCCAUGGGCAGUUUCACCUCAAAUGCCCAAUUUCCCUGCACUGCUGACAGAUUGGGCCUCGGUUGUUCAAUUGCCCUUUCCCCUUUUAGGGUCCCUCCCCCAGGGAGCUCUGUUCCCAUUAUCCUCCCCCUACUCCUGCUUGCCUUGCCCUGACAGGGGCUCAAUUCCCUCUGGGGGUGGGUCCUUGCACGUCUGGUUCCCCUCGGCAAUAGCGGCUGCCAUUCUUUUCCCUUUCCCCAUGGCUUUCUCCUCAUCCCACCAUACACUGACCUUCUGGGCUUCUUUUAACAGGUCAUUCAACCCCUUAUCUUGGCAUUCCCUUUCUAGCUUCUCCUUAUAUCCAGCCCAGCAUAAGUGACAAAGUUUAUCUUCAAUAAAGCUUGUCCAGCUUUUGUAUCAGUCU